AACUUUUGGUGUUAUCUUGAUAGAGCAUUUAUUUUAUUUAAUUUUAACUUGCUAAUCACAUUUCUAGUAUGCAUGCUAAAGUGAACAUAAGUAUCAUCACAAGUAUGUUCAGCUUAGCAAUAACAUAAAUAUUGAAAAAUUACAAUGUUUUGUUACAUUUAUGUGGUGCCACUGCCUAGCUACUUGCUAAGAAACUUCUGUGUUUUAACCAACAUGUUAUUUUGCAGAAAAGUUGGCAUCUAAUUUUUUAGCCAUUGAAAUGCCUUCCCUGGCUUGCUGUGGAAAAUGUCUUAAUUUAUGGUUUAAGAAGGAUCUGAUUAAUAUCUGACUAGUUGCACAUUUUACAUACCUUGUUUUCUAUGGUAUUUUAGAGUCCAAAGAAGGUCAACUUGGUUGCUGCUCUGGUUCGUGGUAUGCUUGUUAAAGAUGCAUCGAUGCUGUUGGAAUCGACAAUAAAACGAGCAGCAAAAACUGUAUAUCAGGUUAAAGAGUUCCAUAGAAGAGAUGGUUUUGAGGUAGCAAGUGCUGACAAGAUGGCUAAGUCAUGCAUGGUUUAUUUUGAAAUGCAUCUAUCCCUAAGGAAAAAAAUAAUUACAAAAGCUUUUAAUGGUAGUUAUAGUAUCUACAAGGAAACUUUUUGUAACCAGGUCUAUUGCCUUUUUGUUUGAGUGACUGGACAUGCAGGUACAAUAAUUGUUGUUGAAGAUGACAAGGGACCUGAAAGAGGAAUGCCGAGCUUCAAUUCUGAGUUACCCAAUUCCAAUUCAUGGGUUGAGGAUGUUACAAGAGUUUGGGAUCCUUGCUGACCAGUGACUAGGGUUGAGGAUUUUACCAAGAGUUGAAGACCGUUGCUACUAGAAUGUCAAGGUAAAGAGAAAUGUUGUUAAUUAGUAUCCUUUUAAGGUAAAAAAAAGGAAGAUUUUACCUAUAAGCGGAGCUUCACAAAGGUACGUAGCAUUUAUGAUUUAACUGUUUGUUGGGUUGACUUGGUUUUCUUCAGUUUUGUAGAAGGUACUAAGAUGUAGGCAUGCUAGAUCCUUAUUGCUUGACUGUUGACUAUCCAAGAAUUCUGUUGGAUGGAAAGGCUACUUGUGUGUUACUGAUUUCAUAUGGCUUAUACUCAAUUGGAUGGAAAGGCUACUUAAAAUUUUUUGUUUUUCUACUCUACUCUAGGUCCAUUCUAGGUUUCUCUUUGACUCCUUGUUUGCUUUUGUGUGCUUUUCAUUGCUUUAAUUAUUGAAUAAUCCUUGAAAAUUUGUCUUG